AGAGUUUGAUCCUGGCUCAGGACGAACGCUGGCGGCGUGCCUAACACAUGCAAGUCGAACGAGAAUCUUUGAACAGAUCUUUUCGGAGUGACGUUCAAAGAGGAAAGUGGCGGACGGGCGAGUAACGCGUGAGUAACCUGCCCAUAAGAGGGGGAUAAUCCAUGGAAACGUGGACUAAUACCGCAUAUUGUAGUUAAGUUGCAUGACUUGAUUAUGAAAGAUUUAUCGCUUAUGGAUGGACUCGCGUCAGAUUAGAUAGUUGGUGAGGUAACGGCUCACCAAGUCAACGAUCUGUAGCCGAACUGAGAGGUUGAUCGGCCGCAUUGGGACUGAGACACGGCCCAGACUCCUACGGGAGGCAGCAGUGGGGAAUAUUGCGCAAUGGGGGAAACCCUGACGCAGCAACGCCGCGUGAUUGAAGAAGGCCUUCGGGUUGUAAAGAUCUUUAAUCAGGGACGAAACAAAUGACGGUACCUGAAGAAUAAGCUCCGGCUAACUACGUGCCAGCAGCCGCGGUAAUACGUAGGGAGCAAGCGUUAUCCGGAUUUACUGGGUGUAAAGGGUGCGUAGGCGGCUUGGUAAGUCAGAUGUGAAAUGUAUGGGCUCAACCCAUGCACUGCAUUUGAAACUAUUGAGCUUGAGUGAAGUAGAGGUAGGCGGAAUUCCCUGUGUAGCGGUGAAAUGCGUAGAGAUAGGGAGGAACACCAGUGGCGAAGGCGGCCUACUGGGCUUUAACUGACGCUGAGGCACGAAAGCGUGGGUAGCAAACAGGAUUAGAUACCCUGGUAGUCCACGCUGUAAACGAUGAUUACUAGGUGUGGGGGGUCUGACCCCUUCCGUGCCGGAGUUAACACAAUAAGUAAUCCACCUGGGGAGUACGACCGCAAGGUUGAAACUCAAAGGAAUUGACGGGGGCCCGCACAAGCAGUGGAGUAUGUGGUUUAAUUCGAAGCAACGCGAAGAACCUUACCAGGUCUUGACAUCGAGUGACGAUCCCAGAGAUGGGAUUUCCCUUCGGGGCACGAAGACAGGUGGUGCAUGGUUGUCGUCAGCUCGUGUCGUGAGAUGUUGGGUUAAGUCCCGCAACGAGCGCAACCCUUACUAUUAGUUGCUACGCAAGAGCACUCUAAUAGGACUGCCGUUGAUAAAACGGAGGAAGGUGGGGAUGACGUCAAAUCAUCAUGCCCUUUAUGACCUGGGCUACACACGUACUACAAUGGCGUUUAACAAAGAGAAGCGAAACCGCGAGGUUGAGCAAAUCCCCAAAAAACGUCUCAGUUCAGAUUGCAGGCUGCAACUCGCCUGCAUGAAGUCGGAAUUGCUAGUAAUCGUAGGUCAGCAUACUACGGUGAAUACGUUCCCGGGCCUUGUACACACCGCCCGUCAAACCAUGAGAGUUGGCAACACCCGAAGCCGGUAGUCUAACCGCAAGGAGGACGCCGUCGAAGGUGGGGUCGAUGAUUAGGGUUAAGUCGUAACAAGGUAGCCGUAUCGGAAGGUGCGGCUG
rnacentral:rRNA from 1 species